AUUGAACGCUGGCGGCAGGCCUAACACAUGCAAGUCGAACGGUAACAGGAAGCAGCUUGCUGCUUUGCUGACGAGUGGCGGACGGGUGAGUAAUGUCUGGGAAACUGCCCGAUGGAGGGGGAUAACUACUGGAAACGGUAGCUAAUACCGCAUAACGUCGCAAGACCAAAGAGGGGGACCUUAGGGCCUCUUGCCAUCGGAUGUGCCCAGAUGGGAUUAGCUAGUAGGUGGGGUAACGGCUCACCUAGGCGACGAUCCGUAGCUGGUCUGAGAGGAUGACCAGCCACACUGGAACUGAGACACGGUCCAGACUCCUACGGGAGGCAGCAGUGGGGAAUAUUGCACAAUGGGCGCAAGCCUGAUGCAGCCAUGCCGCGUGUAUGAAGAAGGCCUUCGGGUUGUAAAGUACUUUCAGCGGGGAGGAAGGGAGUUAAGUUAAUACCUGUGCUCAUUGACGUUACCCGCAGAAGAAGCACCGGCUAACUCCGUG
rnacentral:rRNA from 1 species